AUAUUCUGUAGCAAGGUUAACCGUAUAGGGGAGCCGAAGGGAAACCGAGUCUUAACCGGGCGUUAAGUUGCAGGGUAUAGACCCGAAACCCGGUGAUCUAGCCAUGGGCAGGUUGAAGGUUGGGUAACACUAACUGGAGGACCGAACCGACUAAUGUUGAAAAAUUAGCGGAUGACCUGUGGCUGGGGGUGAAAGGCCAAUCAAACCGGGAGAUAGCUGGUUCUCCCCGAAAGCUAUUUAGGUAGCGCCUCGUGAAUUCAUCUCCGGGGGUAGAGCACUGUUUCGGCUAGGGGGCCAUCCCGGCUUACCAACCCGAUGCAAACUGCGAAUACCGGAGAAUGUUAUCACGGGAGACACACGGCGGGUGCUAACGUCCGUCGUGAAGAGGGAAACAACCCAGACCGCCAGCUAAGGUCCCAAAGUCAUGGUUAAGUGGGAAACGAUGUGGGAAGGCCCAGACAGCCAGGAUGUUGGCUUAGAAGCAGCCAUCAUUUAAAGAAAGCGUAAUAGCUCACUGGUCGAGUCGGCCUGCGCGGAAGAUGUAACGGGGCUAAACCAUGCACCGAAGCUGCGGCAGCGACGCUGAUGCGUUGUUGGGUAGGGGAGCGUUCUGUAAGCCUGCGAAGGUGGCCUGUGAGGGUUGCUGGAGGUAUCAGAAGUGCGAAUGCUGACAUAAGUAACGAUAAAGCGGGUGAAAAGCCCGCUCGCCGGAAGACCAAGGGUUCCUGUCCAACGUUAAUCGGGGCAGGGUGAGUCGACCCCUAAGGCGAGGCCGAAAGGCGUAGUCGAUGGGAAACGGGUUAAUAUUCCCGUACUUGGUGUUACUGCGAAGGGGGGACGGAGAAGGCUAUGUUGGCCGGGCGACGGUUGUCCCGGUUUAAGCGUGUAGGUGUGUGUUCCAGGUAAAUCCGGUUCACUUUAACACUGAGGCGUGACGACGAGGCACUACGGUGCUGAAGCAACAAAUGCCCUGCUUCCAGGAAAAGCCUCUAAGCAUCAGGUAACAUCAAAUCGUACCCCAAACCGACACAGGUGGUCAGGUAGAGAAUACCAAGGCGCUUGAGAGAACUCGGGUGAAGGAACUAGGCAAAAUGGUGCCGUAACUUCGGGAGAAGGCACGCUGACACGUAGGUGAAGUGAUUUACUCAUGGAGCUGAAGUCAGUCGAAGAUACCAGCUGGCUGCAACUGUUUAUUAAAAACACAGCACUGUGCAAACACGAAAGUGGACGUAUACGGUGUGACGCCUGCCCGGUGCCGGAAGGUUAAUUGAUGGGGUCAGCGCAAGCGAAGCUCCUGAUCGAAGCCCCGGUAAACGGCGGCCGUAACUAUAACGGUCCUAAGGUAGCGAAAUUCCUUGUCGGGUAAGUUCCGACCUGCACGAAUGGCGUAAUGAUGGCCAGGCUGUCUCCACCCGAGACUCAGUGAAAUUGAACUCGCUGUGAAGAUGCAGUGUACCCGCGGCAAGACGGAAAGACCCCGUGAACCUUUACUAUAGCUUGACACUGAACAUUGAGCCUUGAUGUGUAGGAUAGGUGGGAGGCUUUGAAGCGUGGACGCCAGUCUGCGUGGAGCCGACCUUGAAAUACCACCCUUUAAUGUUUGAUGUUCUAACGUGGACCCGUGAUCCGGGUUGCGGACAGUGUCUGGUGGGUAGUUUGACUGGGGCGGUCUCCUCCUAAAGAGUAACGGAGGAGCACGAAGGUUGGCUAAUCCUGGUCGGACAUCAGGAGGUUAGUGCAAUGGCAUAAGCCAGCUUGACUGCGAGCGUGACGGCGCGAGCAGGUGCGAAAGCAGGUCAUAGUGAUCCGGUGGUUCUGAAUGGAAGGGCCAUCGCUCAACGGAUAAAAGGUACUCCGGGGAUAACAGGCUGAUACCGCCCAAGAGUUCAUAUCGACGGCGGUGUUUGGCACCUCGAUGUCGGCUCAUCACAUCCUGGGGCUGAAGUAGGUCCCAAGGGUAUGGCUGUUCGCCAUUUAAAGUGGUACGCGAGCUGGGUUUAGAACGUCGUGAGACAGUUCGGUCCCUAUCUGCCGUGGGCGCUGGAGAACUGAGGGGGGCUGCUCCUAGUACGAGAGGACCGGAGUGGACGCAUCACUGGUGUUCGGGUUGUCAUGCCAAUGGCACUGCCCGGUAGCUAAAUGCGGAAGAGAUAAGUGCUGAAAGCAUCUAAGCACGAAACUUGCCCCGAG
rnacentral:rRNA from 1 species